rnacentral:lncRNA from 1 species
GCCUAUUUCAUCUGGUUAGACUCUUGGUAGGAUCAGACAUUCGCCAGAUGCAUGCUCUUGCCCAGCAAUCUCCACUCUUGAAAUGCAUGGCAUGACCAAAGUACUUGAUGUUAUGGUAGAGUUAAGAGUCAGAUUCCAUUUGAUACCACCACACAGAUUAAGUUCAAUCCAAAAGAGAAGGCCAAUUAGCCUGUUUAUAUGACCCAGUAAAAAAUCAGUGUCCUACAGUGAAGUUAUGAACUUUAACUCCAGAACAUGAUUAAGGGACCCUUUUCUGUUUAGUUCACCUCCGCAUUUUAUCCCACUUAAUCCAAGAGAAAGACCAAACUAGAACUAUAAGAAUCUUGUGCUGAAAAGCAAGUGGUAUAAAAACAUCAUAAUCAUAGUUUUGGCUCGCUGGCUGCACACUUUUUAGAUUACCUUAAAAGCAACGGUUGCAAAAAAUUAAGAACACUCGGUAGAUAUGGCUGGAGGAUGUUGCAAAUUAAUGAUAACCAUGGGGAAAGGGUAGAGCAUCACCAUUAAAUUUAACAGGCAAGAAGAUAUCAGUGGCAGGAUUCCAGAUUGCAGGGUCUAUCCCGUUCAGUACGCCAAAGUACCUGAGAAAUUCAGUUGGCAUUAUUAGAUGCAACAGAACAGCUUCUAUGCAGCAUAUAAGAACCAAGUAAAAGUAUUUUUCUCUAACAGUAAAGACAGACAACACGUGAUAACAAAAGCAGAAAUGUAAAAGAUUUAUGUCAACAGAGCAUGGAUUUCUAUACAUAAAGUGUGAGUCUGUUUCUCUCCAGACUCACACUUUCAUGUGAAAGAACCAUAAGUAGUUCAACGCUGGAAGGGCACAAAAAGAUUCAAUUGUUAAAGUCAGCUUAUAUGCCUGCCCUGGUAUGACCUAGGAAUUGAACAUUUUCCCUGAGGCUGCGUUUGGAACCAAGGUGGGGAGGAAAUGAGAAAAAUGUCCAUUGAUUCAAAUUUUCCCUUCCCUCUCCCUACUCACAAAAAUUUAGAAUUUUUCAAAACUUUCGAUCCGAAUUUUCUUCAUCUCCAUUUACCCUAAUUUCCCAAACAUAGCAUGAAGGAUCAAUUCUUUCAACUGUCUUUUCAGCUUGGCAGAAAGAUGCCUAGCAGAGUUUACAGAAGAAGUACUGUAAAAGUGCAUUGCAGAAAGCAAGGAUUAUACAGAAUUUUUCUCAAGUUCUUUCAUGAGCUUAAGGAAUUAACUCAGAGCUGGAACUUGAAAGCUCCACCAUAGGGUUCCCCAAAAAAGCAAGGGUUCACAGCCCUAGAAUAGGAAGAGCUGCAAGUCCCUACUCACUAAAACAAUAGAUAUAUAGAAUCCAGCUUCACUUGUAUAUGGAGUUUGUCUAGGCCUUUUAUGCGUGUUAAGCUCCGGCACCUCUAAUAGCUUAAGCUUUUGGCUU